rnacentral:rRNA from 1 species
UACGGAGGGGGACUAGCGUUGUUCGGAAUUACUGGGCGUAAAGCGCACGUAGGCGGAUUUGUAAGUCAGGGGUGAAAUCCCGGGGCUCAACCCCCGGAACUGCCUUUGAUACUGCAAAUCUCGAGUCCGGAAGAGGUGAGUGGAAUUCCUAGUGUAGAGGUGAAAAUUCGUAGAUAUUAGGAAGAACACCAGUGGCGAAGGCGGCUCACUGGUCCGGUACUGACGCUGAGGUGCGAAAGCGUGGGGAGCAAACAGGG